CCUCCUCUCUCUCAUCAAUUGGACUCCUGGAGUUCGGCCUGGCACCCGGCCGUGGAUCUCUGCAAUUGAUUCCAUCAGUCACUGGAUGAGGGCUCUAUGAUGACAAUUAGGUUAUCCAGCCAUCUGAUCACCAGAGCAGGCUACUUCAGGCACCCUCUUGACUAUCGCCAGUAGUCUAUGGCGAACCAUGCGUCCUUCCUAGGAUCCCCCUUACUAGCUAGCCUCCAUGGAGUUGUGGGUUGCAGUCUGGUUUUCAAAUGCUUUACAUCUAGUAUCCAUUAUGAACAAUACCGUUGUUCAACAUUUGUUUGCAUUUCCAAGUCCCAAUUUGAAGAAAAAUACUGUGGUGGAGCCAUUUUCUAUGCCAGAGUUUGGAAGACAAAACCAGAGACAGAGCACUGUCACCCUGAAGUUACCCGGAAUCCUACUGACAUUUAAGUCUUGCAGAAAGGAAGCUUUCAGGACAAGACCGUAAUAUCAAAACAUUAAAUUAAAGAAAGUGAAGAAGAGACAGGUCAGGUACACAUUUCCCAUGCCUGUUCAAGUAAAGUCUUACAUUUGACUUAGUAAAUAAUGCAUGAAAUGGAAUUUUAAAUACGGGUCAUAUGAGCACAAUUGUUGUACUUAAACAAUUUGUCAGCUUACUAUUAUUCAUAGAAAUUACCACUUUCCCUCAAUUUAUGACUCCAAGUCUAAAGAAUACAUCUUCAAAAGCCAUUUUACAUAAAAUGAAUUACAAGAAUAAUGGAUAUUUUGUACUUGUGGCCUAAGACAUUGAAUGUCUACUUAUUGGUUAUGAAGAACAGAGCUUCCUAAACCACUAUAUAUUACAUAUGGGGUUUGUGUGAAAACUUUUGCAAUAGUAAUGUUUCUGACUAUGCAAUCACCAAAAAUAAAGAAUAUAAUGAAUCCAAAA